rnacentral:lncRNA from 1 species
CUGACACUGAUUUCCCUCUAUAGCCUCAUUCCUAAGGCUCUUUCACACAUGCCAAGAAUUGUUACCCCUCUGAGGGAAAAGAUUUUGUUUGAAAGGAUACAGUCUUUUCCUUUAAACAGCGUUUUUCCAGUCAGCAUUUCUGCCAUGAUGCAACCAAUAGACCAGAUAUCCACUGUUAGGGAAGAAAGAAGGAAAAAUUUAAAAAGAGUAGCUUUUAGGAAAAAGGAUUGCAUGAGCUGGUGUCUGCAUUUUCAGUCUGCAGCAGGCACUCAUUUUAAUUUCAGUCCCAUUUUCUGCCCUCCCCGGUUCUUUCUAUGCUGCUAAAAUCUUUGCUUUCAUCAUUUCCCACAGGCACCAGCUGUGAAUUACUCUAUGUCAGGGGACACUGAUUAUAAAGAGCAAAAACAUCUGGUAGAUUAGUUCAGAAUGACUUCUGGAGCUCUAUACCAGCGCGUGACCACAUAGCCUGUCAUUUCAGCAUCAGCAUGUCUUGCCAAGCCAAAGUCCAAGAUCUGCAGCUCAGCAAAGGAAGAGGGAGAAGAAAGAGCAGGAAAGAAUAAAUCAAUCCUACAAGCAAGAAUCUGCUUCUAAGAGGAAAUGAAGCAGAUCCAAUCAGAUCAGACUGAAGCUUUGUCUGCACCAAAGCCACCUAUGGGAUGGUUCAAAGUUUGUCUUAACUCCACUGUAAGAUGCAAGCCAGCUGCAGGGCCAGUUGUCCUGCAGAGUCCCUAUAGAAAGUAUCUGUGUCAUACACUGCUACCUGGAAAGUCACUUCCUUUGAAACUUAAGUUUAAACUCUAUGAGAUUUUUUUAAUAGACUUCUAGAAGGUGGAGACCAAGGCAUGCUCACAAGCCACCGUGACUCACCAUUUCCUAUAACAACACCCUGCAGCUGACAGGAGAUGACCUCUCCCUCAGUACUGGAGAUGAACAUGGCUUGACCCAACUUUUACGGGCAACAGAGCCACUCCCAGUAAUAUACAUUACAGAAAACACAUGGGAGACUGUCACCCCACUGAGCUGUAAGCAGUCUCUUCAGAACAACACUGAAAAUAACUUUGUCUUAGAAUCACAGCCAUUGUGUCUCAGGGCCUAGUCAACAAGAACCAAAGGGUAACUGGGGCUGUAUCCAGUUAUCCUUGAGGGAUCGUCCACCUAACACCAGCAUGGCUCAGUAGUAUUACAUUAAUUUAGGAAGUCAUUACAAACUUCAGUGCAGCCAAAAUGACAGUGACAGGGUGUUCGUUCCAAGGCUUGGGCCCUGAUUCAGCAAGUUGCAUAAGCAGGUGAAUAUUUCCUGCUGACGGCAACUGCUGUGUAAUGCAGCUCCGCAAAUUGAGCCAUGUGACAUCGGGGGAAGCACAAUGACACCUGCACUCCAGCAUUCCUGCUUGCAGAGCAGCUCAUGAGCACUCUGAUCUGCUACCUGCGUUUUUCCUACCUUUAGCUGGCAGUCUUCAUUCACAGCCAGGUUGCCUGGCUUCAGGUCCUAAAACAGAUGAGACCAGAAUAAAUGGGAUGUUUGGAUUUGCAGUUCAUCAACACAAGCCUGAGUCACGCCUCAGCUCACCUGGGAUGCUUUCCCAUAACAUCCGGAGCCCAGUA